rnacentral:ribozyme from 1 species
UGCUUAGCAACUCCUAAGCCUACCUCCUCGCGGUACUGGCCGGGGUACGACUAGCCUUAGG